rnacentral:rRNA from 1 species
AUGGAUCCCACGGUACCACCUGCGUCCGUCGUCGAUGGUCAGCUCGCCGCGGAACCCUCCCCUCCUGGGAUGUGCCGGUGGCGCUCCGUGGAUGGGCUCCUCCUCCCCAGGCCGCACCCAAUCUGCAUGUGUCGACAGCCGCCGGUUAGUGCUCUUUCUUCCCCCCUUCCCGGAACCGGAGGGGAUCUCGGAGAAGCAAACAGGAUCGGUGUUCUGGCAGAAAAGAUCCUUCUUUUAGCAUAUAACAACAACAACAAGCCCGAGUCUUAUCCAGAUUUGGUCCAAGUUCUGAUGCCACAAGCCUCAGGGAGUCAAAAUCUAGUGAUUUCCUUGGCCUACUCGGAUCUGCUUCACCUACUCGGUUUAGGAGCGAGGCAACCUCGGUUGGUGAUCUAUAAAUAUGAACACAACCUUGUCUGCCCUCUUUGUGCUCUACCCAAGUUGUUAUUUUGCAAGUAUUUCAGCAGAAGCAGUCCAUCUUCCAACAGAGAUUGUACUCCCACGGCUGCCCCUAGUAUAGCCAUGGUAAUGAACUUCGGGGCACUACCAGUUUUAUCUAAGCUGCUAGGUCUCUCUCCACCCAGUUUACUGAAGAAGAAGACACUACUGAUAGAUACUGCGGUGGGCACACUUCCUGAACUACCAGAAGACAUCUUGAUGCAUGUCUUUGCCACUCUUGAGAUCCCUGACCUUGUGCGUGCUGGCUCUGUCUGCACCUUAUGGCACUCUGCCUACACCACACUGUGCAACCUCGGGAAGUACAAGCAGACCCAGACGCCUUGCCUGCUCUACACCUCUGAAUCUGCUGGUGAGAACGUUGCAUGCCUCUACAGCCUAGUGGAGAAGAGGGUUUACAGGUUAACCCUCCCGGAGCCACCUCUCAGCAGUAGGUUUUUGAUUGGGUCCUCACUCGGCUUCCUGGCAACCGUCGAUGAUAGAUCUGAAAUGCACCUCGUCAAUCCUAUCACUGGUCAACAGAUUGCUCUCCCUUCAGUGACCACCAUGGAGUACGUGAAGCCCAUCUUUGAUGACUUGGGUGUUGUCCACAAGUAUGAAUACCCAAGUCACUCUGCAAGACGAGCUUUCUUCACGCCAUCGAUUCUCGCUGGUUGUGAGCUGCGGGAAUGCCUCCAGAUCAAGGCGUUUGUGUUUCAUGAUACAUCCACAGGAAGAUACAUCGUGGUGCUCAUCCACGAGCCAUACAAUCACCUCUCGUUUGCAAGAGUAGGGGAUGAUAAGUGGACCUUGCUGCCACCACACCAUCACUAUCAGGACUGCACCUACAAGGAUGGCUUGUUGUACGCAGUGGAUAUAAAGGGAGAAAUCCAUGCCUUCGAUCUUAGUGGUCCUGCUGUUACAAUGAAGAUUAUUAGAGGAGUCGAUGAGGAUUUUUAUCCUGAUGCCAUAUACAUUGUUGAGGCCCCAUGGGGUGGUCUGCUGCUUGUUUCAAGAUUUAAAGAGUUCGAGGAUCCUGAUGAAGAUGGUGACCCUGAAAUAUAUGUUCCGCAUACUACGGAAAUCAAAUUACACAGAAUUGAUGAUGGCACAGAGAGGCUUGUGGAAAUUGAUUGCUUGCCUGACCAUGUGCUGUUUCUUGGACACAACGAUCCACUUUGUCUGAGUGCCAAAGAUUACCCUGCUCUCAAGGGAAAUCAUGCCUACUUCACUGACGAUGAUGAGUACAAUAAAAACCGUAAGAGUAGUCCUCGUGAUAUUGGAGUAGUUGGCUUGGGCAAUAAUAGCGAGGUGGACCUUGUGUCUCCUCUGCUUUGGUCCAACUGGCCUUCUCCAGUGUGGCUUACACCCAGCCUUACGGUGAUGAAACUGCCAUCGAAUGACCGUUGGCUCAGUGAAUGGGAUCAUGUACUCUCCAGACCAUCACCGACUGAGGCUACGGUAGGCACUACACUCCUGGAGCUACCAGAGGACAUCAUGAUGCGUGUCUUUGCCACCCUUGAGAUCCCUGACCUCGUACGUGCUGGUGCUGUCUGCACCUUUUGGCGCUCUGCCUACACCGCCCUGCGCAAACUCGGCACACACAAGCAACCCCAGAUGCCGUGCCUGCUCUACUGCUCUGAAUCUUCCAGCGAGAAUGUUGCCUGUCUCUACAGCCUCGUGGAGAAGAGGGUUUACAGGCUAACUCUCCCGGAGCCGCCUCUCCACAGUAGGUUUCUGAUUGGGUCCUCUCUCGGGUUGCUGGUCACCGUCGAUGAGAGAUCUGAAAUGCACCUCGUCAAUCCGAUCACUGGUCAACAGAUUGCUCUCCCUUCAGUGACCACCAUGCAGCAUGUGAAGCCCAUGUGUGAUGACUCAGGUGCUGUCCACAAGUAUUAA